AGAACGCAGCGAAAUGCGAUACGUAAUGUGAAUUGCAGAAUUCAGUGA
rnacentral:rRNA from 1 species